rnacentral:misc_RNA from 1 species
AGAAUGCAACAAAGACAAAAUAAUAUAGGAUAACACAUUAGU